rnacentral:rRNA from 1 species
UACGUAGGUGGCAAGCGUUGUUCGGAAUUACUGGGCGUAAAGCGUGCGCAGGCGGUUCUAUAAGACAGAUGUGAAAUCCCCGGGCUCAACCUGGGAACUGCAUUUGUGACUGUAGAGCUGGAGUACGGUAGAGGGGGAUGGAAUUCCGCGUGUAGCAGUGAAAUGCGUAGAUAUGCGGAGGAACACCGAUGGCGAAGGCAAUCCCCUGGACCUGUACUGACGCUCAUGCACGAAAGCGUGGGGAGCAAACAGG